UUAAGCGACUAAGCGUACACGGUGGAUGCCCUGGCAGUCAGAGGCGAUGAAGGACGUGCUAAUCUGCGAUAAGCGUCGGUAAGGUGAUAUGAACCGUUAUAACCGGCGAUUUCCGAAUGGGGAAACCCAGUGUGUUUCGACACACUAUCAUUAACUGAAUCCAUAGGUUAAUGAGGCGAACCGGGGGAACUGAAACAUCUAAGUACCCCGAGGAAAAGAAAUCAACCGAGAUUCCCCCAGUAGCGGCGAGCGAACGGGGAGCAGCCCAGAGCCUGAAUCAGUGUGUGUGUUAGUGGAAGCGUCUGGAAAGGCGCGCGAUACAGGGUGACAGCCCCGUACACAAAAAUGCACAUGCUGUGAGCUCGAUGAGUAGGGCGGGACACGUGGUAUCCUGUCUGAAUAUGGGGGGACCAUCCUCCAAGGCUAAAUACUCCUGACUGACCGAUAGUGAACCAGUACCGUGAGGGAAAGGCGAAAAGAACCCCGGCGAGGGGAGUGAAAAAGAACCUGAAACCGUGUACGUACAAGCAGUGGGAGCACGCUUAGGCGUGUGACUGCGUACCUUUUGUAUAAUGGGUCAGCGACUUAUAUUCUGUAGCAAGGUUAACCGAAUAGGGGAGCCGAAGGGAAACCGAGUCUUAACUGGGCGUUAAGUUGCAGGGUAUAGACCCGAAACCCGGUGAUCUAGCCAUGGGCAGGUUGAAGGUUGGGUAACACUAACUGGAGGACCGAACCGACUAAUGUUGAAAAAUUAGCGGAUGACUUGUGGCUGGGGGUGAAAGGCCAAUCAAACCGGGAGAUAGCUGGUUCUCCCCGAAAGCUAUUUAGGUAGCGCCUCGUGAAUUCAUCUCCGGGGGUAGAGCACUGUUUCGGCAAGGGGGUCAUCCCGACUUACCAACCCGAUGCAAACUGCGAAUACCGGAGAAUGUUAUCACGGGAGACACACGGCGGGUGCUAACGUCCGUCGUGAAGAGGGAAACAACCCAGACCGCCAGCUAAGGUCCCAAAGUCAUGGUUAAGUGGGAAACGAUGUGGGAAGGCCCAGACAGCCAGGAUGUUGGCUUAGAAGCAGCCAUCAUUUAAAGAAAGCGUAAUAGCUCACUGGUCGAGUCGGCCUGCGCGGAAGAUGUAACGGGGCUAAACCAUGCACCGAAGCUGCGGCAGCGACGCUUAUGCGUUGUUGGGUAGGGGAGCGUUCUGUAAGCCUGUGAAGGUGUGCUGUGAGGCAUGCUGGAGGUAUCAGAAGUGCGAAUGCUGACAUAAGUAACGAUAAAGCGGGUGAAAAGCCCGCUCGCCGGAAGACCAAGGGUUCCUGUCCAACGUUAAUCGGGGCAGGGUGAGUCGACCCCUAAGGCGAGGCCGAAAGGCGUAGUCGAUGGGAAACAGGUUAAUAUUCCUGUACUUGGUGUUACUGCGAAGGGGGGACGGAGAAGGCUAUGUUGGCCGGGCGACGGUUGUCCCGGUUUAAGCGUGUAGGCUGGUUUUCCAGGCAAAUCCGGAAAAUCAAGGCUGAGGCGUGAUGACGAGGCACUACGGUGCUGAAGCAACAAAUGCCCUGCUUCCAGGAAAAGCCUCUAAGCAUCAGGUAACAUCAAAUCGUACCCCAAACCGACACAGGUGGUCAGGUAGAGAAUACCAAGGCGCUUGAGAGAACUCGGGUGAAGGAACUAGGCAAAAUGGUGCCGUAACUUCGGGAGAAGGCACGCUGAUAUGUAGGUGAAGUCCCUCGCGGAUGGAGCUGAAAUCAGUCGAAGAUACCAGCUGGCUGCAACUGUUUAUUAAAAACACAGCACUGUGCAAACACGAAAGUGGACGUAUACGGUGUGACGCCUGCCCGGUGCCGGAAGGUUAAUUGAUGGGGUUAGCGCAAGCGAAGCUCUUGAUCGAAGCCCCGGUAAACGGCGGCCGUAACUAUAACGGUCCUAAGGUAGCGAAAUUCCUUGUCGGGUAAGUUCCGACCUGCACGAAUGGCGUAAUGAUGGCCAGGCUGUCUCCACCCGAGACUCAGUGAAAUUGAACUCGCUGUGAAGAUGCAGUGUACCCGCGGCAAGACGGAAAGACCCCGUGAACCUUUACUAUAGCUUGACACUGAACAUUGAGCCUUGAUGUGUAGGAUAGGUGGGAGGCUUUGAAGUGUGGACGCCAGUCUGCAUGGAGCCGACCUUGAAAUACCACCCUUUAAUGUUUGAUGUUCUAACGUGGACCCGUGAUCCGGGUUGCGGACAGUGUCUGGUGGGUAGUUUGACUGGGGCGGUCUCCUCCUAAAGAGUAACGGAGGAGCACGAAGGUUGGCUAAUCCUGGUCGGACAUCAGGAGGUUAGUGCAAUGGCAUAAGCCAGCUUGACUGCGAGCGUGACGGCGCGAGCAGGUGCGAAAGCAGGUCAUAGUGAUCCGGUGGUUCUGAAUGGAAGGGCCAUCGCUCAACGGAUAAAAGGUACUCCGGGGAUAACAGGCUGAUACCGCCCAAGAGUUCAUAUCGACGGCGGUGUUUGGCACCUCGAUGUCGGCUCAUCACAUCCUGGGGCUGAAGUAGGUCCCAAGGGUAUGGCUGUUCGCCAUUUAAAGUGGUACGCGAGCUGGGUUUAGAACGUCGUGAGACAGUUCGGUCCCUAUCUGCCGUGGGCGCUGGAGAACUGAGGGGGGCUGCUCCUAGUACGAGAGGACCGGAGUGGACGCAUCACUGGUGUUCGGGUUGUCAUGCCAAUGGCACUGCCCGGUAGCUAAAUGCGGAAGAGAUAAGUGCUGAAAGCAUCUAAGCACGAAACUUGCCCCGAGAUGAGUUCUCCCUGACCCUUUAAGGGUCCUGAAGGAACGUUGAAGACGACGACGUUGAUAGGCCGGGUGUGUAAGCGCAGCGAUGCGUUGAGCUAACCGGUACUAAUGAACCGUGAGGCUUAACCUU
rnacentral:rRNA from 1 species